rnacentral:rRNA from 1 species
GAAGGUCCCAAGCGUUGUUCGGAAUCACUGGGCGUAAAGCGUGCGUAGGCGGCAAGGUAAGUCAGAUGUGAAAUCUUCGGGCUCAACCCGGAAACUGCAUCCGAUACUGCCAUGCUAGAGUAAUGGAGGGGUGACUGGAAUUCUCGGUGUAGCAGUGAAAUGCGUAGAUAUCGAGAGGAACACUCGUGGCGAAGGCGAGUCACUGGACAUUUACUGACGCUGAGGCACGAAGGGCCAGGGUAGCGAAAGGGAUUAGAUACCCCUGUAGUCCUGGCAGUAAACGGUGCGCGCUUGGUGUGGGAGGAUUCGACCCCUUCCGUGCCGGAGCUAACGCGUUAAGCGCGCCGCCUGGGAGUACGGUCGCAAGCUA